GGUUGAGUAGUGUAGGGGUUAUCACUUCAGAUUCUGAUUCUGGAAACCCCGGUUCGAUUCGUGAGUACCACCG